ACCUGGUCUUCUAGCCUGACCAAUACAGACCUGGUCUUCUAGCCUGGUGCCAGGAUGGUUCUAGUCUCCUGCCAACUCCUUAUGGAAUUGUCAUGUCAUGUUUGGCUUGACAAUGAACAAUGGAGUUAGCAAGAGCAGAAACAGAUCUGGAACCAGGCUACUAAAACAGAUCUGGGACCGGGCUACUAAAACAGAUCUGGGACCGGGCCACUAAAACAGAUCUGGGACCGGGCCACUAAAACAGAUCUGGGACCGGGCCACUAAAACAGAUCUGGGACCGGGCCACUAAAACAGAUCUGGGGCCAGGCUACUAAAACAGAUCUGGGACCAGGCUACUAAAACAGAUCUGGGACCAGGCUACUAAAACAGAUCUGGGACCAGGCUACUAAAACAGAUCUGGGACCAGGCUACUAAAACAGAUAUGGGACCAGUCUACUAUCUGUGACCAGGCUACUAAAACAGAUCUGGGACCAGGCCACUAAAACAGAUAUGGGACCAGGCUACUAAAACAGAUCUGGGACCAGGCCACUAAAACAGAUCUGGGACCAGGCCACUAAAACAGAUCUGGGACCAGGCCACUAAAACAGAUCUGGGACCAGGCUACUAAAACAGAUCUGGGACCAGGCUACUAAAACAGAUCUGGGACCAGGCCACUAAAACAGAUCUGGGACCAGGCCACUAAAACAGAUCUGGGACCAGGCCACUAAAACAGUUCUUUGACCAGGCCACUAAAACAGAUCUGGGACCAGGCUACUUGUCUUCUGUAAGACCAAUACAAAAGGGACACUAAGAAUAGAAGUCCAUGCCGUUCUUCUCGCUCUCAUCCGAGGAGGGGUUCUGGUGCUGGUCCGAGUCGGACUCGAACAUAGGGCUGUGGUGGAGGCUGGGCCGGCUGCCGCUCUGGGGAGACGAGACGCAGGGAGGAGGGCCAGAGCUGUCGUGGUGCGGACGGGGGUAGAACACCUCAUCCUGGGGGUGGGAGAGCCAGCUGAGGGAGGGUCCAUCACUCAGACCCUGCCAUGGUGCACUCUGGCUGGGCUGAGGGAGGGGAGAGAUGGGCUGGAGUCCUGGAGGGUCUCCCUAAUUCUUUGGUUCUCUCUGGUCGCUGCCUCCCACACCACCUCCAACUCACC
rnacentral:lncRNA from 1 species